rnacentral:rRNA from 1 species
UACGGGGGGAGCAAGCGUUGUUCGGAUUUACUGGGCGUAAAGGGCGCGUAGGCGGCGUAACAAGUCACUUGUGAAAUCUCCGGGCUUAACUCGGAACGGCCAAGUGAUACUGUCGUGCUAGAGUGCAGAAGGGGCAAUCGGAAUUCUUGGUGUAGCGGUGAAAUGCGUAGAUAUCAAGAGGAACACCUGAGGUGAAGACGGGUUGCUGGGCUGACACGUGACGCUGAGGCGCGAAAGCUAGGGGAGCAAACGGG